UACGUAGGGGGCAAGCGUUGUCCGGAUUUAUUGGGCGUAAAGAGCGUGUAGGCGGCUUUACAGGUCCGUUGUGAAAACUCAAGGCUCAACCUCGAGACGCCGGUGGAAACCGUAAAGCUAGAGUCCGGAAGAGGAGAGUGGAAUUCCUGGUGUAGCGGUGAAAUGCGCAGAUAUCAGGAGGAACACCCGUGGCGAAAGCGGCUCUCUGGGACGGUACUGACGCUGAGACGCGAAAGCGUGGGGAGCAAACAGG
rnacentral:rRNA from 1 species